AUUGAACGCUGGCGGCAGGCUUAACACAUGCAAGUCGAGCGAGUGGCGGACGGGUGAGUAAUGUCUGGGACACUGCCUGAUGGAUGGGGAUAACUACUGGAAACGGUAUCUAAUCCCGCAUACCAUCGGAUGUGCCCAGCUGGGAUUAGCUAGUAGGUGGGGUAAUGGCUCACCUAGGCGACGAUCCCUAGCUGGUCUGAGAGGAUGACCAGCCACACUGGAACUGAGACACGGUCCAGACUCCUACGGGAGGCAGCAGUGGGGAAUAGUGCACAAUGGGCGCAAGCCUGAUACAGCCAUGCCGCGUGUGUGAAGAAGGCCUUCGGGUUGUAAAGCACUUUCAGCGAGGAGGCGUUACUCGCAGAAGAAGCACCGGCUAACUCCGUGCCAGCCGCCGCGGUAAUAC
rnacentral:rRNA from 1 species